rnacentral:sRNA from 1 species
UGCCUUCGUGAACGGCAACGGUUUUGCCC